rnacentral:pre_miRNA from 1 species
AGACACUCUUAUGGGGCAAGACUUGCUUCAGUGGGGCUUUGGUGCUCACUGAGUCUUCCCCCUGAGUGUGUCCCG